rnacentral:rRNA from 1 species
UGGGGAAUAUUGCGCAAUGGGGGAAACCCUGACGCAGCGACGCCGCGUGCGGGAUGAAGGCCUUCGGGUUGUAAACCGCUUUCGAUUUGGAGCAUGCUUUCGGGUGAGUGUACCUUUCGAAUAAGCGCCGGCUAACUACGUGCCAGCAGCCGCGGUAAUACGUAGGGCGCAAGCGUUAUCCGGAAUUAUUGGGCGUAAAGAGCUUGUAGGCGGUUCGUCGCGUCUGGUGUGAAAGCCCAUCGCUUAACGGUGGGUUUGCGCCGGGUACGGGCGGGCUAGAGUGCAGUAGGGGAGACUGGAAUUCCCGGUGUAACGGUGGAAUGUGUAGAUAUCGGGAAGAACACCAAUGGCGAAGGCAGGUCUCUGGGCUGUUACUGACGCUGAGAAGCGAAAGCGUGGGGAGCGAACAGG